rnacentral:rRNA from 1 species
AGAACGAACGCUGGCGGCAUGCCUAAUACAUGCAAGUCGAACGAACACUUCGGUGUUAGUGGCGCACGGGUGCGUAACGCGUGGGAAUCUGCCCUUGGGUUCGGAAUAACAGUUGGAAACGACUGCUAAUACCGGAUGAUAUCGAAAGAUCAAAGAUUUAUCGCCCAGGGAUGAGCCCGCGUAGGAUUAGCUAGUUGGUGAGGUAAAGGCUCACCAAGGCGACGAUCCUUAGCUGGUCUGAGAGGAUGAUCAGCCACACUGGGACUGAGACACGGCCCAGACUCCUACGGGAGGCAGCAGUAGGGAAUAUUGACAAUGGGCGCAAGCCUG